CCUACGGGAGGCAGCAGUGAGGAAUUUUCCACAAUGGGCGAAAGCCUGAUGGAGCAAUACCGCGUGCAGGAAGACGGCCUUCGGGUUGUAAACUGCUUUUAUUUGGGAAGAUUAUGACGGUACCAAAUGAAUAAGGAUCGGCUAACUACGUGC
rnacentral:rRNA from 1 species